GUACUAUACACUCCACAAUUCUUAUCACACAAACUCUUAUGUUUUUUUGAACGUAAAACAAGUGUUAAUUUUAUUUAACCAAAUAACAAAUUAAUAACUUUUGACAACGGAUCUCUUGGUUCUCCCAUCGAUGAAGAACGCAGCGAAACGCGAUAGGUAAUGUGAAUUGCAGAAUUCAGUGAAUCAUCGAAUCUUUGAACGCAUCUUGCGCUCCUUGGUAUUCCUCGGAGCAUGCCUGUUUGAGUGUCGUGAAUAUCUCCAUUAAAAGAUUUUUUCUUUUAACGGGUCCUUGGGCUUGGUGAUGAGAUUAGCCUCUUUGUAUCACCUUGCCUUAAAAGUAUGAGUGGAUGAGUGUCAGCCAUAGAUUUUUGUUAAGGCAAACCCAUAAAAAUCUUGUGCUUUUGUCAUCUGCUACCAAACAAACACACACAUACAUAAUUCUUUAUGUAUUCCUUUCUGGCCUCAAAUCAGGUAAGAUUACCCGCUGAACUUAAGCAUAUCAAUA
rnacentral:rRNA from 1 species